CUUGAGCUCUGAAUCGCGAGAUACCCUGCGGUUUAUCUGAGGACUACAAUGUUCUUCGACCAUUUUACUUAGAACUGUCCGACAUCGCGGAACCAUUGUGCGUUUUGUUCGCGAUCGGUUAAUUUGUGAUCAUUGUUAUUGAUUAAACAAAUAAACGCUCAAUUAAUUUAAAAGAGCUAAUAAAACAACAGGGAAAUUCCUUUCUUGGCGAAACCCGGCGAACCCAACACGUCGGAGAAAAGGCUGCGCCGUACCCUCGCGCCUCCAACGGACCCGCUGGAAGCUACCAACCGGCGGAGAAUCCGCCGCAAACAAGCAGAAGGAGUCGGUGAGGAAAUUUGUGUCCUCACCGCACUCCCCAGGUACCCUGUAUUGUAUAGUUUUGUCCAUGUGCACAUGUGAUGUCCCCAUAAUUUAAGCAAAAGUAA